UUCCAAUGGGAGCUACUCUUGGAGCCCAGAUCUCAAGAAACAGCAGGCUACAAUGUGUAGACAGUUUGAUUUAAAUGGGCCUGGGUGAGGCGGACCACAGAAACCAACCCAGCAGUGCCCUGGCCUGUGGGAAAAGCUCACACUUCAAACUGGGGAUCAAGUCUACAUAGAAACUCCCAGAGGAGAUGGAGCAUCGAUCCAGACAUAGCCUGGACAGAUUGUGGGAACACAGCAGGAAGCAUGGCAAAUGCCAGGAAGGCAGAGCUAUUCAGGGACCAGAAUGGUUGGAUCAGGAUCGUAGCAAGUAGCUGGGCUACGAGAGCAAAGUCCAGCUUGUGAAAGAAUUUAGCAGGGACUCACAAAGCAUGAGGCUUCCCAACAGGUUUCACCUUGAAGGAAAACUCUUCUUCCACAGAGAGCAUGAGCCUGACCUGUGGUGGCCUCAUUUCCUACCCUCUGGCUUGCACUGAUGCUGUGCUGAUUAGCAACCUAAGGCCUCCAUCGAAGAAAUCAGCCGACCUCAGAGUCCGGACGCCAGCACAAUGACACACACGAGGCAUCAGCUGCUUCAGAGAUUGAGGAAAGGAAAGUUUCUUCAUUUCCCAGUUUUUAACAAGUGCCAAACAGAUUAAGCUUGAUUGGAAAUACAAGCAUGAUGGAAUUCUGUGGAACCCUAAGCGAAGCCACAGACUAUUUUCCCUGAGCAGCACUGGAAAUUAUAUCCUCACAACACCUAAGAGCUUUCCCACCAAUAAAACAGUUGACAAAGUAUGAUGUCAUUAGAAAAGCCUCUGAUUGGCUGAAUCUAUUCCCCAGAGACAAACCCCUCUGCUGGCAGCAAAAACUUUUCCAAGAGGUUUUUGGGCAUCAGACAUCAGAUCUCGCUUUUGCCUUUUUAUGCAAUACUUGAGUACAGUAAGAGGCACAUAGAUACUGCAGUUCAGGAGGCUCCUUCUGCCAGGACUUUGAGGUUGCUUUUCCUGGAGCAUUUUAAGGCCCAACCUCAGCCUGGCCAGCCCUGCCUGGGUAAGUAGGGAGAAGACACGAAGAGAUUUAAUGAGGAAACUCACUACUUCUCUACCACAGGCUUUCAGAGUCGGCACAGCAGUGGUGAUUCUAAAGCUCCGCCAAGGAACGUCAUAGCGGAGAAUACUGUGAGACCAAGGCCCAGGGAGCCACGGCGAAUCUUAGAGUUAGAAAUGUUUAUGACUUGCGUCUGUGACAUGGGUUAGGUAGGCCAAUGAACCCCUGUCUUCAAAGAAAUUACAAACACA